UUCUUACUCCCUCCACUCCAAAUCACUCGUCACAGAAAUGGAUAUAUCUAGAUAUGUAUUUUAGUUCUAGAUACAUCCAUUUCUACGACGAGUAAUUUGGAAUGGAGGGAGUACCUC
rfam:Triticum aestivum genome assembly, contig: Triticum_aestivum_CS42_TGACv1_scaffold_095221_2AL